rnacentral:lncRNA from 1 species
UUCCAGUAAAUUUAAACUAUUUUUAUGAAGUUUGAUGUUGGUUUGGAGAUCCCUUAAGGUUCAGUUUAUGGGGGACCUCAAUUACUUUUCUCCACUCACCUUAGGCUACUAUGGUUUAUACCCAUUAAUUACAUUUACAACUAUUUAGCUUGAUGCCAUGUGUUUUUCUUCUAUUUAUGAAGACUUCUAUUAGAAGUUGUCCGAGUGGUACAUGUUUUUUUUGGCGGAGGGUGUAUAUGACCAGAAGUUGAUUCUUUUUCUCAGUUGUGAUUAGCAGUGAGUGACAAUCCUUUAGACUCUUGAAUUGGAACGCGUGUAAAAAUGUGUUCCUGUUAGAUUUGUCGAAUUGCGUGUGUCAGUGCCACAGUUGUGCAUGUUAGACCGUGAGUUGGGACAUGUUUGUUUGUUCUUCGUAUCACGAGAUUAGAGAGUCGAUGAUAUUUGUUAUGUUUUUAUGAUAGAGUGAUUAAGAGUAGGUUUGCUAUUAUAUGCUUGUGUUCUACACUAUCUUUUUCCCUCCCCCUCCCCAAAUUUCCUAUUUUUCGAGAGUGUCAAUGUGUGAGUGGGUUGUCUAAUUUACAUGGAGAUUUGAUGCCCAAAUUUUUAAGAUUUCCAAAUUUAGAAUUAUUUUUUGGACUUUUUUAUUCAUACUCCUCUAGGUUUUGGAAUCUAGUACGUGACAUCCUUCAAGCACAAUACGAUUUUCAUUACAUAAAAGAAAGAACUUUAUACGGUUUUUUAUUAUAUAAAAAGAAAAAAAACUUUAUAAUCGAUACCCAUUUAGAAAAUCAGUGAGGUGAAAAACCGCAAUGUAUGUUUUUCAUGAAGAAUGUUGUAGAUGGUAAGUUAAUUAUUCCUCCAUUUCCCUUUCUUAUGUUUGUACCGUUUUCGAGGUCAUCGUCCUCCACUUCCCCUCCUUAGGCAUGUUACAACCCAAUCACACCGUUCUCCUGGCUUCUAGGUUGACAACCUCACACCACUCCUUCUAGAUAUGUCCCCGCCCACCCCCACCCACACACACGACUCUAGGAUGGCAUAAUCUCGCCUCAGUCAACACACCAACACUCUAAAAUAAGUUAAAACACAUAACCACUCAAUCCACAAACACCAACUAGUUUAUGUCCCUUCACAUACUAAAAAUGUUAACACAUCAAAACCAACACCCAAUUAUACCAACUAGUUUAUGUCUUCACAUUAACUAAAAAUGUUAACAACAUCACCAAACCAUCCCACAAUUAUACCAACUAGUUUAUGUUCUUCACAUUAACUAAAAAGUUAUACGAAGCAUAUAUAUCCCUGAAAGCACAUAACUCAGCAAUCAUGAGUUAAGCCCUCGCCAACUUCAACACAUAAAUGUAUUUUUCUACAUUAAAUAAUUAGCCACUCAACGAAUCAACCAUACGCUUUAUGAUAUGUCUUUCGCUUUUUCAAAAUUAAUAAAUCAAGUUAAAAAUCCCUACCACAAGCGAGUGCUGCGAGAACUCAUUCCGCCGCGAUCAAUGGAAUCCUAACCGUACCCGCCAAGGCAUUAGCACAUGUGUGGCUGAUCUCGCCUGACCGAUUUGUGUCUGUGAUGAGCUCUUGUUUGGCUGGAGGAUAUGGGAGGGGAUAACUUUUAGAGGGGGGAUAAAUUUUAGACGGGAUAAUUUUUUAGAGGGGGGAUAACUUUUAAUUUUGUUUGGAUACUUUUAGAAUGGGUGGAGAUCAGGAAGACAUAAUAUAGAGAGAACCAAACUAUAACAUCUUUAGUUUAUUAAAUAUAUAUUUUAUUCUUCCUCUCUAUAUAAAAAAUUAUACAUUUUAUUUAUCUUUAUCCUUUUUUUUUUCUUAUCCCCCACCUCCUUAUCCUGUAACUUUUAAUUAAGGUCUAUACCACCCAAAAAUUUAUCCUCCUUUUCCACCUCGAGGCAUUAAAUAUUCUGGGACAUAAAUUAUCCUGCCUCCAUAUCCGCCAGCCAACACCGGAAGGAAAAAUUAUCCGGAAAAAGUUAUCCCUCUCCUUAAUCCGGUAGCCAAACAGCCCCCUGAGACCAAAAUUUAGGGCAAAAGGAAAAAAAAUAGAAAAUUGGGGAAAUUGGGGAAAGGGGGAAAGGGAAAUGCGUUCCCGUGGUGGUGGUGAAGUUUGUGAGAGAUAGUGAGAGCGAACCGUGAGGAGAGAGAGAGAGAUAGAGAGAGAGAGAGAGAGAGGAGGGUGGGAUGGUGUGCGAUGGUGGUCACCGUGCGCGAUUUCCUGCAGUGGUGUCCGGCGAUUAGGGAGAAGAGAGCGAGCGAGCGAGCGAGAGCGAGACGUUGAAUUGCAGACCAAGAAAUAGGUCUCGCUGAUUGGGGGCUCUGUUAUAGCCCUAAUUACGCUACAGUAUCCUUAAUUUUAUAGUACAUCCCAUUUUGAUCCUUGAUGUUAAAUUACUUCAUUAGGUCCCACAAUCAUUCCGAAAAAAAUAAACAUAUUCAAAUGAUCUCCUAGCUAUUCCCCAACUCAUGAUUGGGUUAAAAAAAAUAUACUGGCAGCAGAUACAUGAAUUUGUUUGUUGUUUUUUAUUUUUUUUAGAAUAAAAUUUUAUUAUUUUUCUUUUUUGUCGAUAAAAACGACCUCUCCUUUCAAAGUAAAUAUAAUAAAUUGAGUAUGAGUUUUUAGUACAUGGGUCCACCUCCUCUUGGACACUCCACAUCACUACCACUCGGACACCCCUUGUCCUUGACACAAAUCCCUUUGGAAGACACAUUAGGAUUUCUUGUCAUGGCCAUGUAUCCCACAAUCUUUCCAAGGCAUGUUCAACGUCGGACUAAACAUUGGUCAAGCAAACCAAAUCCCUUCUUCAAGCAUAUUUAAUCACCAAUUCAGAAUGGGUUCAAUAAAAUAAGUGCUAAAGUGUUUUUUUCUUCUGUUUUAGAUAGGGAAAGAUAAGUAAUAUUGAGGCAAAGAAGGUAUCUCAUCCAGCACCUUACUUGAAGAUGCUCAAAGCCAGGAUACAAAGUAAAUUACUUGAAUGCUUAGAGUUGGUUGUAUUUUUCACUGCAGGAAUAGAUAAAACAGUUAGGAGGUUAAUUCACCUCGUAGAAUCAAAAAUAUUGUACUCACAACGUCCGCUAGAAUUGCUAUAAAGGAAAGGUUCAUAGUUAAUUUUCAUCUCCUCCCCGAUCCCGACAGAUUAAAAUUUGACUACUUUAUCCCCAUUUUCCACGGGUAUCAAAUUUUCCACCCCGUCUCCAUUUUUUGUUACUUUUUUUUUUCUUCAUCGACUACAAACUAAUUACAUUCAAAUAUGACAACUAGUAAAACUAACAUAAUAACAAGUAAAUAACUUCCACUUAGUAAAAAAAGACUAUUGUUUAUGUCUUAUAUAUUUGUCAAUUUUUAUUAUUAAAUAUGCAAAAUAUAUAUUAAUUAAUAUAAAUAUAAUAAAUAAAUAUAUAUUACUCAGCGGGGAGGAGUCGGGAAAGGUAUUGGGAAGAGGCAAGUAAAAUUAUCCCCAAAUUUUUUUUUAUAUUUUUCUCCCUCCCCGGAAAGUAUCCAAUUGUCACCCCAAUCGAGUAGGGUUGAGUGGAGUUUAUGAAUCAUCUUUAUCUAAUUCACUCUCAAAUGAGUUGCUUUAGUACGUCUUGCAAUUUUUUCUAUGAUUUUUUUAAAUUUCUAUUUUUGUGUUUGGCUUUUUACCAAAAAUUUAUUUAUAUUUAAUUAUAAGAAAGGUCCGUGUAUGGUGGCCCCAACAGUCAUCUCAUCAUUUGACAUACAAUAUUUGAAAAAACUAAUUUGUAAUUAAAAAUUUUCUUCAAUCAUAUGUAAUUUACUGGAGUUUAGCUAAUAAGAACUUUGUAUCAUUUAUUAGCAGCCACAUGCAUGAAUGGUAUUUGUGCUUCUCUUACUCCUUUACGCAUUCUGAAAGUUCUCCGCUGCUUCACACUCGUUUUUCACUCCAUUGCCUUGAAUGUGAUAAGUGGUCAUUUUUUUAAUAUCUGCACCGAAAUUUGAUAUUUUUUUGACAGACUUGUCAUGAGUUUGAGGCUUUUAGGUAUUACACCACUUAUUGAGAAAAUUGUUGUUGUAAGCUAACUACCAGCAUCUGAGAGUUCUCACGUCUGAAAAAUUAUCAAUCAAUGACUCACUUGAGUACUACAACAACUUAAACAAGUUUGGAAGGGAGCUAGGUAGGCUCUUUUAUUUCGCUUUACUUUUUAUAAUGGUUUAACUUAUUGAGUACUUAUGUCGAAUAGCUCUUUUAACUUUUCUGGCACUUUGUUAUUUUUAUAAUUUUUUAUAAGAAUUAGUUGAUUAUGUUUAAUCCUAAUAAAUAAAGAUUAGCGAAAGAUUUUAAUUAUAAUCAGAUCAAAAAUCUGAAUUUAAAUUGUCACAGUUAAGAUGAUAAGAUUUAAAUGUUACCCCGAGUCAAACCCUAAGAUUUUUUUUUUGUAAUUUUUUGCAAUAAUUUUUCAACACGAUAAUGAAGCAGUGGAGUACCUAUACUCAAAUCUUCACUAAUAAAAUGACACAAAUUUCUUUUUAAAUUAAUAUACAUCCCUGGUCAGUGUCCCUUUGUUCGGUUUUUCACCGUCCUUACCUAAUAAUCUAGAUUUGAGACUAAAAACACCGAGUCCCGUGAAAGGAAAAAAAAAAAGAUAAAAAUAAAAUAUAUACGAGGGAGGAGAAACCCCUUAGCUAUAUGGUUUCAUAUCAAAUUGAACCUUAAUUAAAAUAUACAAUGACUAAAAUUGUUUAACUUAUCUACACAUGGUUUGAGCAUGCCGUCUAUUGGGUUUUUUAUUCGGAGAAUCUCGAAGUAUUGGAAGAUUGGGGCCUCGAAUUCCCGACAAAUGUGAAAAAAUAUGGAGAAAUAUCACUACUGAAUUUGAAAAUGGGAAAAAAUUGUUUUUAAAACUUUUUCUACAAGUGGUUUUAAGUCUAGAAUGUUCAUUUCCAAUACGUCCACCUUAAUUAAAAAUAUUGCCAUACUCAAUCGUUUAACUUUUUUCUACAAGUGGUUUACGUCUGUGAGUUUUUUAUUCGGGGAAAGUCCAUACGUACACCUUAUUAAAAUUUAGGAGGUGGCCAUGACUAAACUUUGUUUUAACUUUUUCUACAAUGGUUUCAAGUCUAGUAGUUUUAUUCGGGAGAAUCUCAUAUGAGUGGAAAUAGGGACUCAUGUCAUAUUACAAAGGGGAAAAUAGAAGGGAAAUUCAACUACAUGAUUUUGAAAAUGGAAAGAAAUUCAAACAAUUUUGCCCCGUCUUCGUCUUUCCUUUCAUAUUCAAAAACUUCGAUUUAAAGCCAUGCUCCUAUCAUUUCUCUCCCUCUCCCAUCCUUUUCCUCUCGUUUCUAUCGACAGGAGAAAAGACUCCUACACCAAUAUCCCUGGGGUCUUUCAAAUCAUUCUGCUUUUCUCUUGCACUCUAUUUCACUAGUUGUUUUACGACUCCUUUUUCGAUCCGUAGAGAGGUUUAGUAACCAAAAGAGUAGGCUAUGGAUUUUAGUUGUAGUUUUGAAGGGGUGUGCAAUUGAAGGGAGAUUAGGUAGUUAGAGGGAGAUUUAUGGGCACUCAUCCAUGUGAAAUCUGUGUUCGGUGCAAUGUGCAUAUAUGCUCAUAUUUUAUUAAUAUCAUAUGAUCAUUGCCCCCUCCCUGCUCGCAAGUGGAGCUAGGACAUAGGUGAGACCUUCUUGAUGAGUAGGAUGGCUACAUAUACAGUGAUGGCAAUGGAGGAAAGAAAAUUGAGAGACGAAAGAUAUGGAGGAGAAGAGAGAAAAGAGACAGUGGGGUGAUGUAGCAACUACAGGCGAUCUUAUAUUUUUUUGACAUGUUGCGAUGACAAGAAGGGCAAAACGCCUAUGCUUUCCCUCAAAUUCAAAUAUUCCAUGGGGGAUUCGAUUCCUAGCCCCCUCUUUUCUCAGUCUCUUGUUAUCCAUUUUUUUAAAAUAACUUUGUGCUCAUUUGCAAGUUCCGGCUUUGUCAGUGGAGUUUUCUUAUUGUCAAGUCAUUUGUUCCUGGGGGCAAGUCAGAUGUACACGGGGGCAGUCAGGGUCUAUGUGGGUGCCGUUGCCUUGCACCCAAUCACAAAUAACUUACACCAAGAAAAUUCACAUUACAAAAAAAAAACUGCACACCUCUAAUGACCAAAAAAAAAACGCCACCUUUGGUGGCAAUGUUGAUUUGAACCUUUCGUGACUUGCACCAAAACAAAUUUCCAAAUGUAUAAAAAAGAGAAUUUACCCAUUGGGCAAAAGACAAGUCUUACGAAGACGAGCAGUAUAGUGGUGAACGGCAACAUGUUGGAAUGGAGGCGAUGACCACGUCGAGUUGGUGGCGACCAAUGGCUCAGAGUAUGGUUUGGUUGCAAUUCAGUUUGUAGUAGAGUAUUUUUCGUAUGUUGGAGUAGGGGCAGAGGGGGGGGAGGAAGAGACAAAUGGGGAUGCUUUAAAUCCAUCAAUUUUCACUGAGGAAAACGUCCUCAUCUGUCACUUCCAUGGCUUGAUAUUUGUCUAGUUUAUUUCCAUUCAACUAAUGUUCAAUAGAGUUGACCCCAUAAAGAUACUAUCUUUGAAAAAAUUAUUUCAGUGGUAAUUUAGAACUUAUGUCCAUUUUAGCGUCUCAUAGUCAUACCUAUAAUAAUAUCAAUCACUGAGGUGGAUGAUUCAUGCAUUUUCAAUGUUAUUUACCAAUAUAUUUUCCCCCACACUUUGGAACAUUUAUAUACUUAUUGAUUCUACUUAACCAUUAUUUUACAAGGUGUUUUAACUAUUUUGCAGGUAGCAAUGGAGCAUAAAAAGAUGUCAAAAGAGGCAAGGAAUUGAGCCUGGAGUGAUAGUAGUUGUUUGCACUAAAUUUAGGAUUUUUCCAAGUUUCUAGUUGAACCUUGAGGUUCUAACCGAUAGAAGAGAGCCAGAAGCAUUAUAAACAAUGAUGAACCGUCGAAACCAUCUUAAUCAGUAGAAUAGGAGCAGAGUAUCAAAUGGAUUGUCCAAACCGUUUAAACCUUUAGUUCUACCGUUGAAUGCAGCAGAGGUCAAAACUAAAUUCCACCGAGGGGGGGGUGGGGGGGGGGGGGUUGAAAACUAAUCCUCAACCUAUGAGCUAGAAGUAAAGGAGAACUGAACCUUUUGCAUUGAAUUGUUCUUCUCACCGAUUGAGAUUGAAGAAGCCAAGAAUGAAAUAUGAAGCUCGACCGCUUGGAAAUUCCAACGCAUUUGAAUCAGGUUGCGAACACCUCAAAGUCACAAGAGUUUGUCUUUCAAGGGUGUUUUUUGUCCUUUCACUCCUGCAUCUCCAGUAUGGAGGAAAUCCCAGUAUAUAAAAGGCUUAAAACUCAGUGUAGAAUUUUUUGAGAGAUUUUAGUCUUGAAGAUAUCUCUCCUUUCCUACUACUUUACUUUUUCAAGUUUCUUAAAUCAAAUAUUAUUUCUAGUCAUAGCUUGAGAGAUUGGACGGAAGAGAAAGAUUACUUGUUUUGGAAUUUAAAACUUGUAAUCUUGUUCCUACUUUUGCUACAAUUCAAAUAGUUGUAAUUUUACUUAAAUUUAAUUUGGAUUUUGAAUUUCUAUUGACUAUCAUUCCUCUUCCAUUCUUGUUGUUAAUUCCUCUUCCAUUCUUGUUGUUAAUUACUUUAGUUUUAAUGCUAGUAAUUCAUGUGUUGUUUCAAGUUUUGCUCGCCCAUGGCUUGGCCAAGAACUAUGUUUGUCUUCCAAAUCUUAAAAUGAAUUUGACUUCUUCUCUCCCUUUACCUAGUUUUCAAUGCUUAUUUUUAGGUCGAUGCAUGUUGUUCUUAAAAUUAAAUUUUGAGUUGUAUACAUUUUUAAUUAAUUUAUCAACAGUACAUUUGGUAAAGUAAUGCUUGGAUCCCUUGUACUCUAAGGGGACGUUUGGUAAUAUUUUUACUUUCUGUUUUUUUGUGUUGUUUUAUAUUUUUUAGUUUUAUUUUAUGUUUUUAUAAAACAGAAACUAAAAAUAUAUUUGUAUUCACCUUUUUUAAACAUGUUAAAUACAAAAAAUAUUUUUAUUUUUACAGUUUUUUGAAAUUAUUUUAAAAAAGUAGUGGUCCGGUGGUGUGGAGACGGAGAAUCAUAGAGGAGGAGUAGUGGUGUGGGGUGGUGGUGGUGGCGGAGACAAGAUGUAAGGAGGUGGUGUUGGGGCAUCGUGGCGGUGAGGGGAGUGGUGGCGGUGGUGGCGUGGCGGCGUGGGUGGUGGUGGGUGGUGGAGUUGGGUGGAUGAGGUUGGCUGAGAGGGAAUGUGGAUGAAAAUUUUUUAUUCAAAACAAAACACCUUUUUUUGUUUCACUAUUUUUUAAAAUAAGUGGUAGUAAUUUUGUCUAUUUACGAUUAUAAAUAGCACAUAAACAAGUUUUUAUUUCCGGUUAAAUUAAAAAACAGAAAAAAUAAAUAAUUAAUAAAUAUCACUUAGUGUUUGAACAUUGUAAGCCAUUAACCGAUCCAUAAACACAUAUUUUGUCAAAACUAUUUCAUUGUAAAAUCCUUUAACCAAUAUUAUUAUGUCUUGAAAGUUGAUCAAGUACAAUCAAGAGAAAAAAAUUAAACAUCUAAAUUAGAAGAAAGACUAGAUACUUGGACCAUACCAUUUUACAUUUAUAGUUUACAUUUCAUCUACAUAAUUUUGCAAAACUAUCAAAACAAUCAUUUUUAUAAUUUCUUGACUUACAAUAAAAACUUAGGCUCCAUUUGGUAAUACUUAAAAAUCAAGUUUUUUUUAAGUUUGUUAUCAAAAAAGUCAAGUUUUUUUUUUUUUUUUUGCUUUUGUGGCUUUACUUUAGAUAAAAUUAAGUAAAAAAUCAAAAACAAAAAAGUAAAAAAGUCAACUUUGAUUGCCUUUUUUGCUUAUUUUUAAGAAAAAAUCUCAAAAAAUGAAAAAAAUCUGUGCGCGAAACGAACUUUAAUCUUGCAUUUCUAACUCAUGUGAAAAUAUUCUAGGACUUCCAAAUUUGUACUGCAUUGAUAUUUUAUCUACGAUUUGGAGUUACCAAAUAAUUUUAAUUACAUGGUCAAUGAGCCAUUUUUAACUCUUUUGACUUAAGCACCGUUUUUCCGUAAUAACAAAGGUUCUCGUUUUUUAUUUCACAACUUUGUCUUUUCAGUGGAAGAAAGGAUAAAAUUAAUCCAAUGAUGCAUGUAUGAUAUUAUUUAGAAGUUACUACCUUCAACCGAUAUUAUUAUGAUUAAUUUAAAUCUAUUUUACCGCCAAAUUGAAAAUUCUCCCUGUAAUCUUGUCUAGACUUCUAUACAAUAUAUUCCCACGGUUUUUCUUGUUGCAAUUGAAUGAAAGCAAGUGGCCUUUAAUUAUUUUCGCUGUUUUCUCUUGAUCAACUUGCUUAUUAUUUUAUUUCACAAUGUUGGAAAUUUUUAUUAAUUUUUAAGAAAUUUACGAUUUUUUAAAUUUUUUUUAAUAAUAUUUAACCAACCAAAAAAAUAAUGUAAUAUAUAAAGAGAUAACUUGAAAACUGUAACGAUUAUUUUGCUCUAAAUUGGAUUUCCCUACUUUGGUUUAUUUCUUAUACAUCAUAACUCUGAUUCCCAUCUCUCUCCAGUACCAAAAAUCUCACUUCUCUCCCAACUUCCUCUUGUUCUCUCUCUCUCUCUCUCCUCUCCUCUUCUCUCCUGUGUGUUUCUUCAAUGGCUACUCCAAUCGACACCCCCAAAAGGCCUCCAUCUCCAGCUCCGAAUUCAAAUUCAACUACGACAUUUUCCUGAGGCUUUCGAGCUAGACACCCGAAAAAAAUUCCCCGAUCACUCUACCCGCCCUGAACGCGCCGGCUCCCGAGCCUUCCGAGACGACGACGAGAUCAGGAGGUCAGAGAACAUCAAUUCCGAGUUUAAACAGAGAGCGAUCAAUACUCCAAGAUGUCGGUGAUCGUGUUCUCGGACCAUUACGCAUCUUCACAAAUGCUUGCCUCUUCGAGGUUCAGACGAAUUCUGGAACAUUGUAAAGAAGUCGGAUCACUUCAUUUUGCCGGGUUGUUACUGAUGUGGAUCCGGGGAGAGGAAGGAGUCAGGCGAGAAGAUCUGGAGAAGAAUGAUUCGUCGAGAAGACGAAGGACGACGGAGUUGCGGCGCUCAAGAGGUUGCGAUUAUGGCUGGGAUGUUUUGCAAAAUCAAUAGGAUGGGUAAUUCCCUCCAAUCCUAAUUUUAUUUUGUCACUCUUCUCUUAUCCCAAGAAUUGAGGUGUGGUUUCAGUUUUGGAAUGAUUUUGCGGAAUGUUNNNNNNNNNNNNNNNNNNNNNNNNNNNNNNNNNNNNNNNNNNNNNNNNNNNNNNNNNNNNNNNNNNNNNNNNNNNNNNNNNNNNNNNNNNNNNNNNNNNNUCAUUCCAAAACUGAAACCACACCUCAAUUCUUGGGAUAAGAGAAGAGUGACAAAAUAAAAUUAGGAUUGGAGGGAAUUACCCAUCCUAUUGAUUUUGCAAAACAUCCCAGCCAUAAUCGCAACCUCUUGAGCGCCGCAACUCCGUCGUCCUUCGUCUUCUCGACGAAUCAUUCUUCUCCAGAUCUUCUCGCCUGACUCCUUCCUCUCCCCGGAUCCACAUCAGUAACAACCCGGCAAAAUGAAGUGAUCCGACUUCUUUACAAUGUUCCAGAAUUCGUCUGAACCUCGAAGAGGCAAGCAUUUGUGAAGAUGCGUAAUGGUCCGAGAACACGAUCACCGACAUCUUGGAGUAUUGAUCGCUCUCUGUUUAAACUCGGAAUUGAUGUUCUCUGACCUCCUGAUCUCGUCGUCGUCUCGGAAGGCUCGGGAGCCGGCGCGUUCAGGGCGGGUAGAGUGAUCGGGGAAUUUUUUUCGGGUGUCUAGCUCGAAAGCCUCAGGAAAAUGUCGUAGUUGAAUUUGAAUUCGGAGCUGGAGAUGGAGGCCUUUUGGGGGUGUCGAUUGGAGUAGCCAUUGAAGAAACACACAGGAGAGAAGAGGAGAGGAGAGAGAGAGAGAGAGAACAAGAGGAAGUUGGGAGAGAAGUGAGAUUUUUGGUACUGGAGAGAGAUGGGAAUCAGAGUUAUGAUGUAUAAGAAAUAAACCAAAGUAGGGAAAUCCAAUUUAGAGCAAAAUAAUCGUUACAGUUUUCAAGUUAUCUCUUUAUAUAUUACAUUAUUUUUUUGGUUGGUUAAAUAUUAUUAAAAAAAAUUUAAAAAAUCGUAAAUUUCUUAAAAAUUAAUAAAAAUUUCCAACAUUGUGAAAUAAAAUAAUAAGCAAGUUGAUCAAGAGAAAACAGCGAAAAUAAUUAAAGGCCACUUGCUUUCAUUCAAUUGCAACAAGAAAAACCGUGGGAAUAUAUUGUAUAGAAGUCUAGACAAGAUUACAGGGAGAAUUUUCAAUUUGGCGGUAAAAUAGAUUUAAAUUAAUCAUAAUAAUAUCGGUUGAAGGUAGUAACUUCUAAAUAAUAUCAUACAUGCAUCAUUGGAUUAAUUUUAUCCUUUCUUCCACUGAAAAGACAAAGUUGUGAAAUAAAAAACGAGAACCUUUGUUAUUACGGAAAAACGGUGCUUAAGUCAAAAGAGUUAAAAAUGGCUCAUUGACCAUGUAAUUAAAAUUAUUUGGUAACUCCAAAUCGUAGAUAAAAUAUCAAUGCAGUACAAAUUUGGAAGUCCUAGAAUAUUUUCACAUGAGUUAGAAAUGCAAGAUUAAAGUUCGUUUCGCGCACAGAUUUUUUUCAUUUUUUGAGAUUUUUUCUUAAAAAUAAGCAAAAAAGGAAUCAAGUUGACUUUUUUACUUUUUUGUUUUUGAUUUUUUAUUAAUUUUAUCUAAAGUAAAGCCAACAAAAGCAACAAAAAAAAAAACAACUUGACUUUUUUGAUAACAAACUUAAAAAAAACUUGAUUUUUAAGUAUUCCCAAAUGGAGCCUAAGUUUUUAUUGUAAGUCAAGAAAUUAUAAAAAUGAUUGUUUUUAUAGUUUUGCAAAAAAUUAUGUAGAUGAAAUGUAAACUAUAAUGUAACAUGGUAUGGUCCAAGUAUCUAAGUCUUUCUUCUAAUUUAGAUGUGUAAUUUUUUCUCUUGAUUGUACUUGAUCAACUUUCAAGACAUAAUAAUAUUGGUUAAAGGAUUUUACAAUGAAAUAGUUUUGACAAAAUAUGUGUUUAUGGAUCGGUUAAUGGCUUACAAUGUUCAAACACUAAGUGAUAUUUAUUAAUUAUUUAUUUUUUCUGUUUUUUAAUUUAACCGGAAAUAAAAACUUGUUUAUGUGCUAUUUAUAAUCGUAAAUAGACAAAAUUACUACCACUUAUUUUAAAAAAUAGUGAAACAAAAAAAGGUGUUUUGUUUUGAAUAAAAAAUUUUCAUCCACAUUCCCUCUCAGCCAACCUCAUCCACCCAACUCCACCACCCACCACCACCCACGCCGCCACGCCACCACCGCCACCACUCCCCUCACCGCCACGAUGCCCCAACACCACCUCCUUACAUCUUGUCUCCGCCACCACCACCACCCCACACCACUACUCCUCCUCUAUGAUUCUCCGUCUCCACACCACCGGACCACUACUUUUUUAAAAUAAUUUCAAAAAACUGUAAAAAUAAAAAUAUUUUUUGUAUUUAACAUGUUUAAAAAAGGUGAAUACAAAUAUAUUUUUAGUUUCUGUUUUAUAAAAACAUAAAAUAAAACUAAAAAAUAUAAAACAACACAAAAAAACAGAAAGUAAAAAUAUUACCAAACGUCCCCUUAGAGUACAAGGGAUCCAAGCAUUACUUUACCAAAUGUACUGUUGAUAAAUUAAUUAAAAAUGUAUACAACUCAAAAUUUAAUUUUAAGAACAACAUGCAUCGACCUAAAAAUAAGCAUUGAAAACUAGGUAAAGGGAGAGAAGAAGUCAAAUUCAUUUUAAGAUUUGGAAGACAAACAUAGUUCUUGGCCAAGCCAUGGGCGAGCAAAACUUGAAACAACACAUGAAUUACUAGCAUUAAAACUAAAGUAAUUAACAACAAGAAUGGAAGAGGAAUUAACAACAAGAAUGGAAGAGGAAUGAUAGUCAAUAGAAAUUCAAAAUCCAAAUUAAAUUUAAGUAAAAUUACAACUAUUUGAAUUGUAGCAAAAGUAGGAACAAGAUUACAAGUUUUAAAUUCCAAAACAAGUAAUCUUUCUCUUCCGUCCAAUCUCUCAAGCUAUGACUAGAAAUAAUAUUUGAUUUAAGAAACUUGAAAAAGUAAAGUAGUAGGAAAGGAGAGAUAUCUUCAAGACUAAAAUCUCUCAAAAAAUUCUACACUGAGUUUUAAGCCUUUUAUAUACUGGGAUUUCCUCCAUACUGGAGAUGCAGGAGUGAAAGGACAAAAAACACCCUUGAAAGACAAACUCUUGUGACUUUGAGGUGUUCGCAACCUGAUUCAAAUGCGUUGGAAUUUCCAAGCGGUCGAGCUUCAUAUUUCAUUCUUGGCUUCUUCAAUCUCAAUCGGUGAGAAGAACAAUUCAAUGCAAAAGGUUCAGUUCUCCUUUACUUCUAGCUCAUAGGUUGAGGAUUAGUUUUCAACCCCCCCCCCCCCACCCCCCCCUCGGUGGAAUUUAGUUUUGACCUCUGCUGCAUUCAACGGUAGAACUAAAGGUUUAAACGGUUUGGACAAUCCAUUUGAUACUCUGCUCCUAUUCUACUGAUUAAGAUGGUUUCGACGGUUCAUCAUUGUUUAUAAUGCUUCUGGCUCUCUUCUAUCGGUUAGAACCUCAAGGUUCAACUAGAAACUUGGAAAAAUCCUAAAUUUAGUGCAAACAACUACUAUCACUCCAGGCUCAAUUCCUUGCCUCUUUUGACAUCUUUUUAUGCUCCAUUGCUACCUGCAAAAUAGUUAAAACACCUUGUAAAAUAAUGGUUAAGUAGAAUCAAUAAGUAUAUAAAUGUUCCAAAGUGUGGGGGAAAAUAUAUUGGUAAAUAACAUUGAAAAUGCAUGAAUCAUCCACCUCAGUGAUUGAUAUUAUUAUAGGUAUGACUAUGAGACGCUAAAAUGGACAUAAGUUCUAAAUUACCACUGAAAUAAUUUUUUCAAAGAUAGUAUCUUUAUGGGGUCAACUCUAUUGAACAUUAGUUGAAUGGAAAUAAACUAGACAAAUAUCAAGCCAUGGAAGUGACAGAUGAGGACGUUUUCCUCAGUGAAAAUUGAUGGAUUUAAAGCAUCCCCAUUUGUCUCUUCCUCCCCCCCCUCUGCCCCUACUCCAACAUACGAAAAAUACUCUACUACAAACUGAAUUGCAACCAAACCAUACUCUGAGCCAUUGGUCGCCACCAACUCGACGUGGUCAUCGCCUCCAUUCCAACAUGUUGCCGUUCACCACUAUACUGCUCGUCUUCGUAAGACUUGUCUUUUGCCCAAUGGGUAAAUUCUCUUUUUUAUACAUUUGGAAAUUUGUUUUGGUGCAAGUCACGAAAGGUUCAAAUCAACAUUGCCACCAAAGGUGGCGUUUUUUUUUUGGUCAUUAGAGGUGUGCAGUUUUUUUUUUGUAAUGUGAAUUUUCUUGGUGUAAGUUAUUUGUGAUUGGGUGCAAGGCAACGGCACCCACAUAGACCCUGACUGCCCCCGUGUACAUCUGACUUGCCCCCAGGAACAAAUGACUUGACAAUAAGAAAACUCCACUGACAAAGCCGGAACUUGCAAAUGAGCACAAAGUUAUUUUAAAAAAAUGGAUAACAAGAGACUGAGAAAAGAGGGGGCUAGGAAUCGAAUCCCCCAUGGAAUAUUUGAAUUUGAGGGAAAGCAUAGGCGUUUUGCCCUUCUUGUCAUCGCAACAUGUCAAAAAAAUAUAAGAUCGCCUGUAGUUGCUACAUCACCCCACUGUCUCUUUUCUCUCUUCUCCUCCAUAUCUUUCGUCUCUCAAUUUUCUUUCCUCCAUUGCCAUCACUGUAUAUGUAGCCAUCCUACUCAUCAAGAAGGUCUCACCUAUGUCCUAGCUCCACUUGCGAGCAGGGAGGGGGCAAUGAUCAUAUGAUAUUAAUAAAAUAUGAGCAUAUAUGCACAUUGCACCGAACACAGAUUUCACAUGGAUGAGUGCCCAUAAAUCUCCCUCUAACUACCUAAUCUCCCUUCAAUUGCACACCCCUUCAAAACUACAACUAAAAUCCAUAGCCUACUCUUUUGGUUACUAAACCUCUCUACGGAUCGAAAAAGGAGUCGUAAAACAACUAGUGAAAUAGAGUGCAAGAGAAAAGCAGAAUGAUUUGAAAGACCCCAGGGAUAUUGGUGUAGGAGUCUUUUCUCCUGUCGAUAGAAACGAGAGGAAAAGGAUGGGAGAGGGAGAGAAAUGAUAGGAGCAUGGCUUUAAAUCGAAGUUUUUGAAUAUGAAAGGAAAGACGAAGACGGGGCAAAAUUGUUUGAAUUUCUUUCCAUUUUCAAAAUCAUGUAGUUGAAUUUCCCUUCUAUUUUCCCCUUUGUAAUAUGACAUGAGUCCCUAUUUCCACUCAUAUGAGAUUCUCCCGAAUAAAACUACUAGACUUGAAACCAUUGUAGAAAAAGUUAAAACAAAGUUUAGUCAUGGCCACCUCCUAAAUUUUAAUAAGGUGUACGUAUGGACUUUCCCCGAAUAAAAAACUCACAGACGUAAACCACUUGUAGAAAAAAGUUAAACGAUUGAGUAUGGCAAUAUUUUUAAUUAAGGUGGACGUAUUGGAAAUGAACAUUCUAGACUUAAAACCACUUGUAGAAAAAGUUUUAAAAACAAUUUUUUCCCAUUUUCAAAUUCAGUAGUGAUAUUUCUCCAUAUUUUUUCACAUUUGUCGGGAAUUCGAGGCCCCAAUCUUCCAAUACUUCGAGAUUCUCCGAAUAAAAAACCCAAUAGACGGCAUGCUCAAACCAUGUGUAGAUAAGUUAAACAAUUUUAGUCAUUGUAUAUUUUAAUUAAGGUUCAAUUUGAUAUGAAACCAUAUAGCUAAGGGGUUUCUCCUCCCUCGUAUAUAUUUUAUUUUUAUCUUUUUUUUUUUCCUUUCACGGGACUCGGUGUUUUUAGUCUCAAAUCUAGAUUAUUAGGUAAGGACGGUGAAAAACCGAACAAAGGGACACUGACCAGGGAUGUAUAUUAAUUUAAAAAGAAAUUUGUGUCAUUUUAUUAGUGAAGAUUUGAGUAUAGGUACUCCACUGCUUCAUUAUCGUGUUGAAAAAUUAUUGCAAAAAAUUACAAAAAAAAAAUCUUAGGGUUUGACUCGGGGUAACAUUUAAAUCUUAUCAUCUUAACUGUGACAAUUUAAAUUCAGAUUUUUGAUCUGAUUAUAAUUAAAAUCUUUCGCUAAUCUUUAUUUAUUAGGAUUAAACAUAAUCAACUAAUUCUUAUAAAAAAUUAUAAAAAUAACAAAGUGCCAGAAAAGUUAAAAGAGCUAUUCGACAUAAGUACUCAAUAAGUUAAACCAUUAUAAAAAGUAAAGCGAAAUAAAAGAGCCUACCUAGCUCCCUUCCAAACUUGUUUAAGUUGUUGUAGUACUCAAGUGAGUCAUUGAUUGAUAAUUUUUCAGACGUGAGAACUCUCAGAUGCUGGUAGUUAGCUUACAACAACAAUUUUCUCAAUAAGUGGUGUAAUACCUAAAAGCCUCAAACUCAUGACAAGUCUGUCAAAAAAAUAUCAAAUUUCGGUGCAGAUAUUAAAAAAAUGACCACUUAUCACAUUCAAGGCAAUGGAGUGAAAAACGAGUGUGAAGCAGCGGAGAACUUUCAGAAUGCGUAAAGGAGUAAGAGAAGCACAAAUACCAUUCAUGCAUGUGGCUGCUAAUAAAUGAUACAAAGUUCUUAUUAGCUAAACUCCAGUAAAUUACAUAUGAUUGAAGAAAAUUUUUAAUUACAAAUUAGUUUUUUCAAAUAUUGUAUGUCAAAUGAUGAGAUGACUGUUGGGGCCACCAUACACGGACCUUUCUUAUAAUUAAAUAUAAAUAAAUUUUUGGUAAAAAGCCAAACACAAAAAUAGAAAUUUAAAAAAAUCAUAGAAAAAAUUGCAAGACGUACUAAAGCAACUCAUUUGAGAGUGAAUUAGAUAAAGAUGAUUCAUAAACUCCACUCAACCCUACUCGAUUGGGGUGACAAUUGGAUACUUUCCGGGGAGGGAGAAAAAUAUAAAAAAAAAUUUGGGGAUAAUUUUACUUGCCUCUUCCCAAUACCUUUCCCGACUCCUCCCCGCUGAGUAAUAUAUAUUUAUUUAUUAUAUUUAUAUUAAUUAAUAUAUAUUUUGCAUAUUUAAUAAUAAAAAUUGACAAAUAUAUAAGACAUAAACAAUAGUCUUUUUUUACUAAGUGGAAGUUAUUUACUUGUUAUUAUGUUAGUUUUACUAGUUGUCAUAUUUGAAUGUAAUUAGUUUGUAGUCGAUGAAGAAAAAAAAAAGUAACAAAAAAUGGAGACGGGGUGGAAAAUUUGAUACCCGUGGAAAAUGGGGAUAAAGUAGUCAAAUUUUAAUCUGUCGGGAUCGGGGAGGAGAUGAAAAUUAACUAUGAACCUUUCCUUUAUAGCAAUUCUAGCGGACGUUGUGAGUACAAUAUUUUUGAUUCUACGAGGUGAAUUAACCUCCUAACUGUUUUAUCUAUUCCUGCAGUGAAAAAUACAACCAACUCUAAGCAUUCAAGUAAUUUACUUUGUAUCCUGGCUUUGAGCAUCUUCAAGUAAGGUGCUGGAUGAGAUACCUUCUUUGCCUCAAUAUUACUUAUCUUUCCCUAUCUAAAACAGAAGAAAAAAACACUUUAGCACUUAUUUUAUUGAACCCAUUCUGAAUUGGUGAUUAAAUAUGCUUGAAGAAGGGAUUUGGUUUGCUUGACCAAUGUUUAGUCCGACGUUGAACAUGCCUUGGAAAGAUUGUGGGAUACAUGGCCAUGACAAGAAAUCCUAAUGUGUCUUCCAAAGGGAUUUGUGUCAAGGACAAGGGGUGUCCGAGUGGUAGUGAUGUGGAGUGUCCAAGAGGAGGUGGACCCAUGUACUAAAAACUCAUACUCAAUUUAUUAUAUUUACUUUGAAAGGAGAGGUCGUUUUUAUCGACAAAAAAGAAAAAUAAUAAAAUUUUAUUCUAAAAAAAAUAAAAAACAACAAACAAAUUCAUGUAUCUGCUGCCAGUAUAUUUUUUUUAACCCAAUCAUGAGUUGGGGAAUAGCUAGGAGAUCAUUUGAAUAUGUUUAUUUUUUUCGGAAUGAUUGUGGGACCUAAUGAAGUAAUUUAACAUCAAGGAUCAAAAUGGGAUGUACUAUAAAAUUAAGGAUACUGUAGCGUAAUUAGGGCUAUAACAGAGCCCCCAAUCAGCGAGACCUAUUUCUUGGUCUGCAAUUCAACGUCUCGCUCUCGCUCGCUCGCUCGCUCUCUUCUCCCUAAUCGCCGGACACCACUGCAGGAAAUCGCGCACGGUGACCACCAUCGCACACCAUCCCACCCUCCUCUCUCUCUCUCUCUCUCUAUCUCUCUCUCUCUCCUCACGGUUCGCUCUCACUAUCUCUCACAAACUUCACCACCACCACGGGAACGCAUUUCCCUUUCCCCCUUUCCCCAAUUUCCCCAAUUUUCUAUUUUUUUUCCUUUUGCCCUAAAUUUUGGUCUCAGGGGCUGUUUGGCUACCGGAUUAAGGAGAGGGAUAACUUUUUCCGGAUAAUUUUUCCUUCCGGUGUUGGCUGGCGGAUAUGGAGGCAGGAUAAUUUAUGUCCCAGAAUAUUUAAUGCCUCGAGGUGGAAAAGGAGGAUAAAUUUUUGGGUGGUAUAGACCUUAAUUUAAAAGUUACAGGAUAAGGAGGUGGGGGAUAAGAAAAAAAAAAGGAUAAAGAUAAAUAAAAUGUAUAAUUUUUUAUAUAGAGAGGAAGAAUAAAAUAUAUAUUUAAUAAACUAAAGAUGUUAUAGUUUGGUUCUCUCUAUAUUAUGUCUUCCUGAUCUCCACCCAUUUCUAAAAGUAUCCAAACAAAAUUAAAAGUUAUCCCCCUCUAAAAAAUUAUCCCGUCUAAAAUUUAUCCCCCCUCUAAAAGUUAUCCCCUCCCAUAUCCUCCAGCCAAACAAGAGCUCAUCACAGACACAAAUCGGUCAGGCGAGAUCAGCCACACAUGUGCUAAUGCCUUGGCGGGUACGGUUAGGAUUCCAUUGAUCGCGGCGGAAUGAGUUCUCGCAGCACUCGCUUGUGGUAGGGAUUUUUAACUUGAUUUAUUAAUUUUGAAAAAGCGAAAGACAUAUCAUAAAGCGUAUGGUUGAUUCGUUGAGUGGCUAAUUAUUUAAUGUAGAAAAAUACAUUUAUGUGUUGAAGUUGGCGAGGGCUUAACUCAUGAUUGCUGAGUUAUGUGCUUUCAGGGAUAUAUAUGCUUCGUAUAACUUUUUAGUUAAUGUGAAGAACAUAAACUAGUUGGUAUAAUUGUGGGAUGGUUUGGUGAUGUUGUUAACAUUUUUAGUUAAUGUGAAGACAUAAACUAGUUGGUAUAAUUGGGUGUUGGUUUUGAUGUGUUAACAUUUUUAGUAUGUGAAGGGACAUAAACUAGUUGGUGUUUGUGGAUUGAGUGGUUAUGUGUUUUAACUUAUUUUAGAGUGUUGGUGUGUUGACUGAGGCGAGAUUAUGCCAUCCUAGAGUCGUGUGUGUGGGGUGGGGGUGGGCGGGGACAUAUCUAGAAGGAGUGGUGUGAGGUUGUCAACCUAGAAGCCAGGAGAACGGUGUGAUUGGGUUGUAACAUGCCUAAGGAGGGGAAGUGGAGGACGAUGACCUCGAGAACGGUAGCAAACAUAAGAAAGGGGAAAUGGAGGAAUAAUUAACUUACCAUCUACACAUUCUUCAUGAAAAACAUACAUUGCGUUUUUCACAUCACUGAUUUUCUAAAUGGGUAUCGAUUAUAAAGUUUUUUUCUUUUUAUAUAAUAAAAAACCGUAUAAAGUUCUUUCUUUUAUGUAAUGAAAAUCGUAUUGUGCUUGAAGGAUGUCACGUACUAGAUUCCAAAACCUAGAGGAGUAUGAAUAAAAAAGUCCAAAAAAUAAUUCUAAAUUUGGAAAUCUUAAAAAUUUGGGCAUCAAAUCUCCAUGUAAAUUAGACAACCCACUCACACAUUGACACUCUCGAAAAAUAGGAAAUUUGGGGAGGGGGAGGGAAAAAGAUAGUGUAGAACACAAGCAUAUAAUAGCAAACCUACUCUUAAUCACUCUAUCAUAAAAACAUAACAAAUAUCAUCGACUCUCUAAUCUCGUGAUACGAAGAACAAACAAACAUGUCCCAACUCACGGUCUAACAUGCACAACUGUGGCACUGACACACGCAAUUCGACAAAUCUAACAGGAACACAUUUUUACACGCGUUCCAAUUCAAGAGUCUAAAGGAUUGUCACUCACUGCUAAUCACAACUGAGAAAAAGAAUCAACUUCUGGUCAUAUACACCCUCCGCCAAAAAAAACAUGUACCACUCGGACAACUUCUAAUAGAAGUCUUCAUAAAUAGAAGAAAAACACAUGGCAUCAAGCUAAAUAGUUGUAAAUGUAAUUAAUGGGUAUAAACCAUAGUAGCCUAAGGUGAGUGGAGAAAAGUAAUUGAGGUCCCCCAUAAACUGAACCUUAAGGGAUCUCCAAACCAACAUCAAACUUCAUAAAAAUAGUUUAAAUUUACUGGAAAGCCCCCCCACCCCCCCACCCACUCUCCAAUCCUUUCACCAAAUUUAAAUCAAAAGAAGGGGGAACAAAAUUGUUCAUCAAAUCAAGAAUUUCACCAAUCUUUCAAUCAAACUUCAUUUUUUUCCAACUUUUUUUAAAAGUAAGGAUUAGUGGGGGUUUACCCUCAAAUCUAAUUUUUGGAAAAAGUGGGAAUUUUGUUAGAAGAUUCACUGAAAGCAGAGUAAAAGUCUUAGGAUCAAAUAAGUUUUUACCAAUUUUUCACUUGAAUUCCGUAGAAAAAAAGAGAAAAAAAAUAGGGAGUGGUCUAACUUGUUCCUAUCAAGGAGAAAACAAAAUUCACAACCAUAGGAAUGCACUAUAAUGAAAAUAAGGGGAGUGGUUUUUGUUAGAGAAACUGGAUGGAUAGAUGCAAGUGUUGAUAAAAUCAGAAUACUUCAAGGCACGUUUAAUCUGCUCUUCUUAAGACGUGAAGUGCCCCAUCACUGGUGUGCAAUGGUCAAGGCAAACCGUCUCCCAAAAUACAAUGACGCCCAAUAAUUAUGAUGUGUGUUGAUAGUGUUUUGCAUAAAUGUGAACAGUGCCCAAAAUAGCAAAACACCAAAAUAAAACAAAAGGAAAAUUAAUUAACUGCCUCAAGCACUUAAAAUUCUGCCUCUAGAAGUUAUAAGGCAUAGCUGCCUCUAACUGUCACUUUGUCCCUUGAUAACUGUCAUUUUGUCUUAUAAAUAUCAGCCAUUUGAUGGCUUAGAUCAAAACCAUCAAGAUUAAUAAAACUAAGGUUCAAAGAUACUUUCCUCUUAAAAGUAUUGAUCAAUUCCCAUAUUGAGCCCUCAAACAAAAACUUUUCUAACUUUGACGUUAACUAUUUAAUUCGUUACAAACAACACCAAGCACUAGCAACAUCCAAUUUAUUAUCGAUUUGGGCGCCACAGACCCCACUUAAGCGCCAUGUAAGCAACCAGAUUCAAAACAAAAACCAGAAUUCGGACAUGAAAGUAGGAUCACUACCACAAACCACUACAAUCCACAUUCUACCUAUAUCAUCCCCACACCCAUACUAAACCCACACGCAAAACCAAACCCCAAACACCCCAUCAAAAACACCGACCAAUCAAACCAUCAACCAAAUCAGCACCCAAAAGACACAUAGCAAAAACACACAUACAGAGAGAGCGCGGGGUGUGUGGGGGGGUGUGUGGUGUUGGUUCGAUUUCAACCACAAUAAUUCUAUUGAUGCGGUGGCGGGUGUUUGAUUCAGACGGUGGUGUACACGGUUCAGUCGACGUCGGUUUUGAUUCAUGCGGUGGUGAUGCUAUUCUUUUGGUGGUGGUUGAUUCAAGCGGUAGUACAUUUAUGGUUUAGGCUUUCUCACUCGCGUCUGUGUGUGAUUGAUGGUGUGAUGGUGGAUUCGGUUGGACGGUGGUGUGGGUGUGAUGGGGGUUUGUAUCUCUCUCAACUAUUUCCUUUUCUGUCUAUAUGAUUUAUGACGGUGUUUGUGGUGGACCAAUUGUGGCGUAUCUGGUGGGUAAGUAGGUGAUUUGAUGGUUAUGGUGUUUGUGGCGGUUGUGGUGGUUUUGGUGUAUAGGGGGUGGGUCUCGUCUCUUUCUCUGAUCCCUUGCGGUAAGGUGGAAGGGUUUGUAAUUUGUAUUAUUUGUGACUUGGUGAUUUUGCAUUUCCCGCGUAUAAGUUUGGAUGGUAUCAAUGCUUGGUUUUGCUUGUUCAAUUAUUAAAUAGAUUAAGGGCCAAAUUGGGAAUCGGUUAAUACUUUCAGGGGGGCAAGUGUAUUUGUGGAAUGCGUGAAAAACGAAGGCCCUAUUUAAAUCAUUUGAAAAUAUUCACCAAUUUUCCAUCCUUUCCAUUUUUCUCCAAAAGUUUCCUUAUAUUCAUUUGCCUAGAAAAGUGUAUAGAAAUGGUACAGUGGAAGUGUAAUUUUGUAAUUUUUUAAAACAAAAAAAUUAUUUAAUUUUUCGAUCGACUUGCACGUAAUUUUCAGAAACUAUUUUUGAAAAAAAAAAUAUUACUUCUUUCCUUUUCAUAUAAUAUUUAUUUUUUAACAUAAAUAAUUUUUCUAAAGAUGUCAUUUUUAAUAUUUUCUGAAUAUGGUUCCAUUCUAAAAAAGAAUUAUCAUAAAAAAAAAUUUUCAAUGUAAAAUGUUAACUUAAAUGUAACUGUUGAAUUUAAUCAUUUUCCUUUUCGUCUAACCAAAUCUCAAUCAAACCACAUAAGCAUUAGGGGGUGCGUAUAAAUUACCAUCCCUUGAUUUUGCAAAACACUCCUAGCCAUACUUGCAAUCUCUUUGAGUCGCCGCACUCUGUCAUUUCUCCUUCUCCGUCUCCGUCUCCGCUGCGCUUCACUCUCCGCCGGAGCCACAUCGUAAAACACCGGAAAACUACAGGGAUCUACUUCUUGUUCACUGUCUCCAGAAUCGUUUGGACCUCGAGAUGCGUAAUCUUUCGAGAACACGAUCGCUGACCAUCUUCAAUUGCUUGAUCACUCGCCGUAACUCGGAAUUAUGUUCUUUGACCUCCUGAUUUUAUCAUCGUCUUGAUCGUUUUAGAAUUCGCCGUUCUGGCGUGGUUAGAGGCAGUGGUGAAGGUUUUUUUUCAGUGGUCUAAUCCUCGAAAGUUCCCUGAAAAUGUCGUAGUUGAUUUGAAUUCGAGCUGGAGCGGAGAGAACUGGAGUAGCCAUUGAAAGAAUAGAGGAGAGAGGAUUAUUGGGAGUGGAGAAGAUUUGGGGGGUGAAAACACUUACUUUUUUAUCAUCUUCUAAUUCCAGAUCAAUCAACCCAAGAUUUACGUUUCGGCUAAUAAAUAAGAUUUUACGUGUUUCGGCCAAUCAAUAAAAUCUCCGUAGUUCGGCCAAUACAUAAGUGUUUCGGCCAUGGUACUUACGUUCACAGUGGGCAUCAAUAAUCCAAUGAGCAUUACAAAAUGAUAUAAAGGAGAAGAAUCACACUCAACUCACCUUCCUCUCAUCACACCAUUCUCAGAAUCCUACUUUUUUUUAUAUUCAUGAUAGACUUAUAACCUGAUACUUAUUAUUAUUAUCCUAUCGAGGUAGAAAAUCUAUUCUAAAUCAAAGACUAACUCAAAAGUUCUCAUCUUUUUAUGAGUCUAAUUGACUCAAAAGUUCUACUCUCAUAUGAACAUUCCAUAUGGACCACCUGAGCAUAAACCAAAUAAUGGUGGGCUGAACUUCAACAAGCAAAUGAAACCAUGUUAGUGAAUUUGAUUCAGUGGUUUUUAAAGUCAAGAAAUAAACGUGGGAAUAAUAGGUGUUUUGUGUAUUUAUAUUGUUAGUGGGUACAAGUCCUUGAACUCUUGCUAGAGGUGGAAGAUGGCCCAAAUUAUCACAGUCUGGAAUAAGUUGGUUUUAUUCGCAAACCACCCACUUCCUCAAUUGCCUACUUAAAAAUGUGGGGUGUGUUGGUUCAAGCCCAUCCUGGAUGAGUCCAAGCCCACUUGAUGAGUCCAAGUCUAGAAGCCAAAGCCCCUGUCCUUAGCCCUAACCCGUUGGAGUUCAUAUGAAGUGUCCAUGGACGGUGAACCGCUUGAGUUAUCUAGAACUUUUGAGCGUGUUUUAUCCCUCUUUGUUUUCCUAGUUUAGUUAGGAUAUGAUUCGGUAUUCUGUUAGAAGUCUACCACGUCCUUCCCUUGGUUUAUAAAGGGAGGGUAGGGUGCUUCUAUUUUCAACUUGCGUGUGCUAUGGGCUUGAGAGUAAGUGCUGGAGGUGAGAUUGAGAGGCAAGACAGAAGAUAGAUUGUGAGAGAGGUUGUGAUUGAGCGAUCCGAGUCUCCUCAGUUGUAAUCCAUUCGUUCGAUAGUGGCUGUUGAUUUCUCUCCGUGGAUGUAGGCAAUCGUUGGCCGAACUACGUAAAUCUUGAUUGUUUUUUGUGUGUGUGUGAUCGGUGAUUUCGUUUUGAGCACAAUAAUUGGUAUCCAGGCCCUAGGUCGAUGCGAUUUCGGAACCCAAGUCGAAAUUCAGGUGCCCGCGAAAGUACUCAAAAUUAAUUUCUAAUUACACCAAGAUGUUCCUCUCGUCGAUACGAAGCUCCAGCACCAAACCACGUCGGAAACGGAGUCCGGACGCGCCCUCACGCGCCACCUGAACAUCGGCGAGUGAGAUCAGUCUCAGUCACGCGCCCUGGGAGGUCCCACGCGCCCGCACGGGCCGGGGAGGAGUUUGCACGCGCAGCCACGCGCCUGUACGCGUGCCCAUGCGCUGCCACGCGCCGGAGGGGUGUAGUUCACGCGCCACGCGCCAACACAUGCGGGCUGACGGUUGACCGUUGACCCAUUGACGGUAAAUUAUAGUUUUAGCCCCUGAAUUUUUUAGUAAUUAUAGUUUGGUCCCUAGAGUUACUGAUAAUUAUAAUUUGGUCCCUAAGGUUUUGGAUAUUUUUAAUUUGGUCCCAGAACUUUUAAUUUUGUCAAUUUGACCCUAGAACUUUCUGAUUUUGCAUAUGGUUUCCAAAGUUUAUGAUUUGAUAGUUUAUCCUUUUCCUGAGGUUUCUGGCAUUUCCAAAUUCACCGCGGGGUUUGUUUUUCGGAGAUUUUACUACUUCUAUUUGGGAAAAUAGAUGGCAUAGCAUAAUUUGGGAUCGAUGAUCUUACUUUCAGCUAUGAAUGAUGCAUAUAGAAAACCAAGGAAUGGAGGACAUCCAUUUUAUAAGGAUUUGCACACCCUUUUGAGAAUAAUGAGACAACUGUAGCGCCGAAGGAUGAGGAAUGAAGAAAUGGAUGAACAGAAGACGUUGGGCAAUCAUACAGUGCAUUGGACACGGGUUUCCAACUAUGUAGCACAUGAGCCAUGCUUAUGAGACAAGUGCUUCCUCAUCAAGUUUGGCUCAAGUGUUCCAACUUGCACCUGUAGCACAUGUGAGACAAUGCGAGAUAUCUCGAACAAACCUUAUGAUGAGGAAGCAUGUGAAGUUGAAGUUUUUUAGAGAGAGACUAACAUGACAGAACAUACGAGGCUAGUUCUAGAAUUUGGUCAAUUCAAUUGACUCAGUGUUGACUUACAGUUUGACGACACGAGAUGCGAGACCUUAUUAGUUUUGAGUCCUUGCCAAAUAGUUGGGAGACAUUGUGGUUUCUCUCACAAUUUAGCGCCGAAUGGAAAGUUGACUAUGAGGCGCCGUCUUGGCAUCAGCUUUUUUUCACUUUUUUCUGACUUUUUGGCUUAAUAUAUGCAAAAAAGCCAAUCAGGAGUUGGCUUUUUUGCUUUUUUUGCUUUUGUUUUUUUUGCUUAGUUUUAGUAAGGAAAGUCACAAAGAAAAAAGUCAAAAAUUCUUCUUGGCCUUAUUGGUAGUAAGCUAAAAAAAACGUUGGCUUUUAAGCAUUACCAACGGAGCCUGGUAUGGUCAGGGAUGCCUUGUUCAUGAGAGGCGCGGAUAGGAGAGAUGGAUGGGUUCGACCGAUCAGAAGUGAGUUGCACCCUAGUCUCAGAGGAAAGAGGAAAUAGGUCGAGGUCAAGGAAGAGAUCAUCACAAAGGUACUGUGAAAAGGACCGGUGAGGUCACAAAACAGAUAGGUCACACUGUUAGGUUGGCUUUAUGUGCAACCAGGAAGGGCAUAUCAAGAGGGAUUGUCCAAGUAUAAAGCAACAUGAUCAGUCUUCAUAUACAAGCAGUCGCAACAAUGAUGCUGUGGAUGAGAUGAGAUUCACUUUCUCCUAGCAGCAUCGGAAGAUAGAAAGUCGAUUGGGUACUUGAUCAGCAGUGCUUUACCACUUGUGCACGAGAUAGAGGGUGUUCUCUACAUAUACACCAUGCGAGGGACGUUAUGGAUGGCAAAACAACAUAGCUAGCAGAGUUUGUUGGCAAAGGAUCAUUCCGGUUACCGCAUGACAGACGGUAGGGCUGGUGUCGUUGACUGGGUAAGGCAUGUUCCUAAUCUACGAAAACAUUUAAUUUUCUAAUUGGGAUGCUAUCGAGUUCAAAUGGGAUGUAGCUUUGACGCUAGUGGAGGAACUCUGAGAGUUUCAAGGAAAACAAUGAGAUGCCUGUAGGGGAAAGGAAGCCUUGAGGGGCUAUACUGUGGAGGGGAUUGUCCAGACAGGGGAAGUACUGUCCGACAGGGGUCCAGUGUAUUAGCAAAGAAGAGUGGACAAUGGAAGCAAUCGUUGCACAGAGCUACGACCAGCAAGCGCCAUGGGUACUUGGGGGAUCCGUAAUGGUACCGAGGAUCCAGAAGUGAGUGUGGUACAAGAGUGUAGGGAGAUGUUUGAGAUAUGUACGGACGUCUGGACCAGACAGAGUGGUGACAAUUAGUGACAGGAUUGUCCAUAGAAAAGCUCAGAGAAAGGAGGACAAAAAGUCGAUUUGAAAAGUGUAUAGGGAAAGGCGCGGCGGACGCCGAAGCAAGUCUCUUCGCCACUCGAUUGAUCAGUGGCGGUGAUCUCUCCAGUUGUGCGCACACAAAGAGGAGAGCAUGGAGCCAUGACAAAACUUGCAAAGUGACGUACUUUGCGGGCAGCACACCCCGGUGGGGGGUUGGUGAGGAAUCCCAGUGGGGGGGUGCAGGGGCAACAUCCGGUGAGAAGGUGCAGACACUUCGGGUGAGAGGUGCAUACACUUCGGUGGAAAGUGGAGUAGUCCGUUAAUGAGGGCUAAGUAUAUAGGAUGCGGUCUUGCAGUCUUAUGGGAGAGCUGGAUCAGAAAGAUGUCAGGAAGGACAACUUGAAGAACAUCGGAUACCUACAGUGAGGCUGGAGGGGGAGAUUGUUGAGGUCCAGCCCAUCUAGAUGAGUCCAAAGCCACUUGGAUGAGUCCAAAAGUCCAGGAGCCCAAGCCCUUAGCCCGGUGGAGUAGUUAAUAGAAGUGUCCAUGUGUGACGGUGAAUGUUGAAUGAAACUCUCGAGUUAUCUUAGAACUCUUUGAGAGUGUUUAUCUUUUUGUUUUCCUAGUUAGAUAGGAUAAUAAUUAGUAUUCUUAGGAGUCUACCACCUCCCUUCCCCUUGGUCUAUAAAGGGAGGGAGGGUGCUUAAUUUUCAACGUCAUUGUACUGUUGGCUGAGAGGCAUGUUGUGGUGAGAUUGAGAGAAAGACAGAGAGAUUGUGAUAGGGUGUGAGUUUGAGUGAUCGAGUCACCUCAGUUUAAUUCAUUCGUUUGAUGUGGAUUUGUUGAUUUCUCUCCGUGACGUAGGUAUCGUUUGUUGCCGAACCACGUAAAUCUUGUUUGUCUUUUGUGUGCGUGUGAUCGGCGAUUCGUUUUUAUGAGCAUAACAGGGUUGGGGAGGGCUUGUGAUGGGGGAACUGGGUGGGUGGGCUUGCGAUGGCUGGGGUAGGGGUUGGGAGCGUCGGCAAUGGUGCGUGAAGUGGUAGAGGGUGGUGGCUGAGGUUAGGUUAGUGUAUGUGGGAUUGGUGAUUGUAAAGAAAGGGAGGGUAGAAUGGUACUUCGAUAAAAUACAAUAUUAAGAAAAUGAAAUACGAUGGGAGGGAGGUACAAGAAAAGUGUUUUUGGGAAUAGAUUCAUAUCUUGGAAUCAUCGAAUGUGAGGAAGCAAGAAAUUUGGCCCUCCUUCCUUUCUCUCGUUCCUACAUGUUCAAAUUAAAACCCUAUUUGAGAUCACCACCUACAUUUUGCGACCGCCGUCUCACAUUCCUCUCUCUUUUCUCUCUUCUUCCUCUCUUUCUCUCUCUUUCCUCCAUUAUAUUGUCUCUAACGUUCUUCCUCUAAUUGCCUUCACUUCUAUAGAUGUAGCCUUCCACCCCUACCAUCACAUCAUCGCGUACCAAACAACCCCUGUCCAUGGAAAAACGUACACUGAUGAUACAUCUUCAUCUCCACCGACACAUCAUUAGCCCUUUCCUAAUUUCUACCGCACCCCCCCCCUUCGUUUGCCUCCUCACCUUUUCUCCUUUCUAACCACCCUACAGGCCCGUUUGCUAAAAUUCUAAUCAUCCUUGUUAGUCGAGAGGGCUCUACGGUUUCUAUAGCUCUGUCCGCGAGAGUUUAGAUGGCUAAUCUAAUAUGAUGCAAUCAAACUGUGCAAUAUAGUUCACUUGCACCAAACAUAGAUGUCCACAUACACCCAUGACACACAUGCUUCCACGACGGUGAGUUUGCCCUUCAUCGUUUCAUUCCUGAAUUCGCUAGACAAUCAUCCUAACACUCCCCUCCCGGCUCCUAGCCACCAUCGCAGCUGUCAACUCUCUCCCUCUCAUCUACCUUGAAACCUACAUCUAAAUCUGGAGCCUCCCUAUUGAAACCUAAACCUCUUUGCAAAUCAAAAAAGGGAUUGUAGCACUAGUGAGAUAUAGAGAUACAGAAAAGAAGAGAGAUUAAGGAAGAUAGGAAAGAGAAAGCACAAUUAAUUGUGACAUCCUAAGAAUGGAGAGUGAUGUGAUGUCGUGAUGGUGGGCAGCCAUUGGUUUUAGAUUUAGGCUUUUGCAAAUGGUCGAAUUCUUUCCUUCCCCUUUUCAAUUCCACGUAGUGAUAUUUCUCUUGUAUUUUCCCAUAUUUGUCGAAAUAUGCGACAUGAGGCUCCAUCUUCCAUUACUUUGAGAUUCCUCCGAAUAAAAAAACCAAUAGACAGUAACUCAAAGUACUCAAUCUUUGUAGAAAAAGUUAAAACAAUUUUAGUCACGACUUCCCUCUCUUUAACAACCAUUUCCAACCUAGCUCUCCUUUUGAAAUGUCACGCACAUCCCAUGCAAACGAAUAUCCCCGUAUUUCACACAACUUCCAUCUCACCAAUUUGCCUCAUUUCCUUUUCUUUUAGAUGACAAAACGCAGGACCCAAACAAAGGGUGAAAGGACAGUGUUUCAUACCUUGUUAUGAAACAAAUCGUACUGAAAGAUGAUGAGAAGGAACCUGUGAAGUGUGCCCCAAGCAGCAACUGACCCGCAGACUAUAUACAUAGCAACUUCAAAUAUAUAACAUGACAUAUAAAUUGUUAAAGUGUUACGGGUUCACAAAGUGAAGUGUUUGGUUUAUGUGUAACCAACUGUUCGACACCUCUGAAUUCAUAUAAGCUAUACUAAAUCCUAGUCGGUCAAAACAAAAUGCUCAUGCAGAUUCCUUUGAAAGAUUUCUGUCGUUUUGGCAGCCAGAUAUUCCAAUUAAUUGUAUUAGGUGGAUAUUAUUUGGCUUGGCCAGCUGUAUUUUCCUUGAGUUCGCCCCUUGAUUGGACGAGCCACCUAGGCAAAAGGAGAUUUUCCAGUUUCCAUCUAUCAAUUGUCCCAUUUUCCCAUCUUCAAAAUCAACACAAAAAUUUCUCAGGUGGUGGGUGGGGGGUGGGGGGGUCUUUUCUGUUUCUCAACCUCUUACAAAAUUGGGGUCCACCAUGAGAUGAUGAUCCAUAGAAUGAAAUCUCCAUCAAGAUCGUCCAUAACGCAAAAUUGUUCAGAGGUAAGAUUUAGCUGCUUGCUUUUGUAGUUAAAUAAGCAACUUGUUCCCCGCAGAUCUCUUCACCUUCCUGUUUUCCAAAAUGGAAUGAACCAAGAAUGAAAAAAAAAAAAAACAGGUUCAGAGGUAAGAUACAAUAAGAUAGAGGUAUACUCAAGGAGUCGAGCCAACUUAUUCUACUGC